UAAUAUCGACAUCGUUAUUAUAAUGCGGUUAUCGAAUCUACGCCACAAGAGGAUUUUAAACUUGCGUGCGCUUGUGUGUGUUACAAUACACGCAAAGCUCGCAUUGAGUUGUCUCACGAGACAUAAACACGCGCUGUCGGGGGUAAUGACAUCGUUGAAUUUCAUGUGAGAUACAUGUCGUGCGCUGGUGUGUGUUAGCACACAUGCAAAGCAUAAUCAAUGACGUCACACGGCGUGAAGCAAACGCGUCGUGCGCUGCGUUGUGUGCGUUGUGUGCUGGUGUGUGUGACCAUACAAAGAAAGCUUUACAUCAGCGCGCCGUGGCCACUGAUGGAACCGACUGUUUCUUUGACGAAAGUUAACCUAACCCGCGUACAAAAUGGCGCAAAAUGUCACGAAUUUAUCAUGCAUCAAGUUAUAUUUUCUUUAGUAUAAUAAUUACAUUCGUUUAGUUAAGCAACUUGUUCAUAGUGAUAAUUGUAGAAAAGUGUAGAAAAAUGACACUUGCAUUAUAUCCUGGGAUGAAGAAACGUUAUUUUAUGUCGAUUUCUUUAGAUGACAAAGGAGGUAACCAAAUAGCAUAUCUUACAAAAUCUGAGGACAAUAAUAAGGAUCGUUUAUCAAGGUUAAAAUAAUUAUUUUACUAAAUUAAGACAUUAACAUAUCCAUGUGUUCGACAUAACCUCACUUCUUAAAUCUCUUAAAUUAGUCGGUUGAGAAGCGGAUCGAGAAUGAUUGUUUGAAUAUAAGUCGUACAAAAUUGGAAUGAAACGAUGAACAAUAUACAGAUCUUUAGACAGGCUCAAAUAAUGUAUGUUUAGGAGCAACUUGAAGAUAAUGGAGAUUUAUCUUCUUAAUAUAAAACCUCUAAAAUUGGGAACAGUAUGU